UACGGGGGGGGGCAAGCGUUGUUCGGAAUUACUGGGCGUAAAGGGCUCGUAGGCGGCCAACUAAGUCAUACGUGAAAUCCCCCGGCUUAACCGGGGAACUGCGUCUGAUACUGGAUGGCUUGAGUUCGGGAGAGGGAGUGCGGAAGUUCCAGGUGAGCGGUAGAAAUGCGUAGAUAUCUGGAGGAACACCGGUGGCGAAGGCGGCAUCCUGGACCGAUACUGACGCUGAGGCAGAAGCGACUGGGGAGCAAACAGGG
rnacentral:rRNA from 1 species